rnacentral:rRNA from 1 species
GCAUAUCAGUCAGCGGAGGAAAAGAAAGCAACUGCGAUUGCCCUAGUAACGGCGAGUGAAGCGGCAGCAGCCCAGAUUUGGAAUCUGGCCCCCUUGCGGGGCCCGAGUUGUAAUCUGCAGAGGAAGCGUCUGGCGCGGCGCCGGCCUAGUUCCCUGGAACGGGACGCCGUAGAGGGUGACAGCCCCGUACGGUCGGCCGCCAAGCCUGUGUGUCGCCCCUUCGAAGAGUCGCGUAGUUUGGGAAUGCUGCGCAAAGUGGGAGGUAUGCUCCUCCUAAGGCUAAAUACCGGCCAGAGACCGAUAGCGCACAAGUAGAGUGAUCGAAAGAUGAAAAGUACCUUGAAAAUGGGGUUAAACAGUACGUGAAAUUGCCAAAGGGGAAGCGCUCGUGGCCAGACUCGCGCCCGGCGGAUCAUCCGGCUCUCCCGCCGGUGCACUCUGCCGGGCUCGGGCCAGCGUCGGUCGGCGCCGGUACUGAAAGGCGGUGCGAACGUGGCUCCCUUCGGGGAGUGUUAUAGCGCGCCGCGUAAUGUGCUGGUGCCGUCCGAGGACCGCGCUUUAUGCAAGGACG